UGGAGUCCAUCUCUGACUUCAUUGCUUCCAGCCAUUGCUCGGAAUCGAUGUCUAACAUCGCCUCUUGUAGGUAUUGGGAUCCUUACCUUGAUCCCUAUCUCCCAUGAGGAACACUUCCUCUACAUCCUCUGUAAGUAUACCUAAGUACCUUUCAGGAGGAUGGAAGAUCCUACUAAAUCUACGAGGUGGAGGAGGUACAACAUGUACUGGCUCAAUAUGAAUAGGUUCUAUAGGCACAAUGGCUCAUUGCUCUUCAGAGACUUUCUCUUAGAGCUCAUUUUUUCUCCCACUACCUCUAUCAAGGAUAAACUAUUUUCC
rnacentral:lncRNA from 1 species